AGUUGGGGCCUGGUCAACAGGGGUCCAGAAGCUGAGGCCUGGUUGGUGGGCGUCCAGCAGUUGAGGCCUGGUCAUCUGGGCCCGGCAUUUGGGGCCUGAUCGGCGGGGAUCAGAGCAGUGAGGCCUAGUCAGUGAGGUGUGGAUGUGGGGGCCUGGAUGGACGUGGAGGAAGACGUGGCUACCCUACUUGCACAGGAGCAGGGGGCAUCAUUGCCCAGUGUGAACAGUGAGACGUAGCUGCCACCCAUCAGUGCCCUGGAAGUGAAGAGAAGACAUCAGGAGAUGAGAGACACAGAAAAAUGGCUCCAGGUGCUUCUCGACUGCCAGAGACAUAGGAGCGGCAAGGAGAGCAAGUAAUGACGCCCUCCUCCCAGACUUGCCACAAAGCCCCCCAGAGCUUGGUGAUGUCCCAGGACGGUCCUCCCAGGAAACAUUUUGAACAAGUUGAUGAAGUGCCUGAUGGACGUGGCUCUCGUCACGAAAUGAGUUUGGAUCCGAGAAGCCCUCUUCUUCAUCGGAAAACAGUGCCUCAUCAGCAGCUACGUUCUGGAUGGCUAGCAUGUACCGAAGGCACAAAACCUCCAGAGUUGGCAGAGUCAAGUCCUGGCGUGCCCGAGGCUAUCCAGGGGAACACGCGGGACAGACAGCACCCUCAGCCUGUCCCCAUGACCCUCUGCUCCAGUCUGAGGGGCAGGACACCAUGAGACCUCUCAGACACAGAGUCCACCCUCGACAUGACCCGGAUGAAAGGCAGGAGUGUGCUCCCUAAAGGGGACCCAUCUCUGCAAGCCCACAGCCCUACCUGCAGCAUCCACAGCCUCAGAGAGCAGCGGGGCCCCUUAACCCUGAACCCCCUCCAAGAGCAUCAGGACAACAAGCCUUGAGCUGUGGAGACAAGAGAAUCAGUAUCCCUGGCCCAGGGAGGAUUCCAGGAGAGGACAGGGGCAGGAGUCCUGGCCCAGAGCCAGAACCAAGAGUCCAGCCAGCGAAACUGGAACUAGGGUCCCCGGCACCCAGGACUCUGCGAGCAUCCCCCAACAGCAAGCCCUUCUGCAAGGGAGACGGGUUGGCCCACCCCAGGCUGUCCAGCUCCAGCAGCCUUGCAGGCAGCCUCUCCAGAAAAAGAGCCUGGUCCUCCCCAACCCUGCUCCCCACAGGCUGUCCCUGACCCUGAGGCCCAGAGGCACAAGAGGACUUCUGUAGAGCCCAGGGGAGCAGGCUGUUCUCUUGGGGCCCCAGCGGGCUCAAGGUGUGGCCAGGCUGUCCCCAACUCAGGAUAGAUCAUAGGCUGUCCUGCGUACCUUCUCUGGAACUCCCUGCCCAAGCUCUGCCAUGGACCUGGACGUCAGGGGCCUGUGGUUUAACUUUGAAUAGGGAUUCUGGACCUUACACGUGUGCCCUGGACAGCCCCAGAACCAUGGGGUGGGGACCGACCCAGCAAGCCCACCGGGGCCCUGAAACCCGGCCCUGCCGGACACUGUGAUAAUAACCAAGAGGCAAGUCCAGAGACAUCCACUUUGCCCAAUGGCACCUGCAUCCAACUUCUCAGCAGGCAGUGACUGGCAUGGUGUGGGGGCAGCCGGGGCAGCACCUGGCCAGCACCUGGCCAGCUGCCCCGUAGCCCCCGAUGGCUCCAGUGCCUCUGGACUUCAUUUUCUACUUUCUACGGGGAAACCUGCUCCCUCAGAGGCCACCAGAGGGAAGAGUGAGCAAGGCGUUCCUGCAGUCCCGACCAGCCAGCGGCAUGUCCUGUGGCCUCUGACUCAACCUACGAGACAGAGCUCUGAUCCCAGGGCACACUUCCCAGGACACGGGGCCCAGCCUCAACCAGAGCCCUGUGAAGGGAGGGGCACCAGGAUGACCACAUGGGGGACCAUGGCGCUGCACGCCUGGGCACUGUACUUCUCAUUGGAGAAUCCAGGCAAGAUCUUGAAGCGGGUGCAUGAGGUCCUGAGCCUGUGCAGCCAACAGCACUCAUCUGGGGUUGGCACGAAGGGGUCUACAGAGCCACGGCCACCGCAGCCUCUUCCCGGCCCCAUCUGUGCAGUGCAAGUGAUCCACGCCUGCUCCUAAACCCAGCCCAGCAAGCAGCAGCAGCCUGGGCCCCCCAGCCCGCCAGGCCAAUGUGCUGCCCAGAGGCUUCAAGGCCCUGCCCGCUGUACCUCCCACCACCUGGAAGCUGCCUCCUGACGCCUUCCAGCCACUGCUGCAGCCGCAACAGUUGUCGCGGCCAGUGCAGGCUUUCCAGACGGUGGCGGCGCCCAGCAGCCGUUGCCUCAGCAGCUCUUUGGUGGCAGCCAGGCCAACAAGGGCAGCAACGAUGACUAGGAUGAUGAGUGAGCAAACAGCUCCACACUGGUGGACAGGCUGGGUGCGCACCCGGUGGUCCUCAAAGGCUCGCUGGGCCUGUACCACCGUUAUAAAUUUGAGAUCAUGAGAUUAUACCAUUUGCCUUCUUGCUUUUUGAAGUACGAGUAUUUUUAUGCACACUUUGUAGACUUCAAAAUCCAUGAAGAGUCUCAAAGAAGCAGGCUGGAUGGGGCCUGCUGCGAAUGUCUUUUUACUCUCGUAGAUCAGGGUGAUUUACAUUCCACCUGUAGUCUGCUUGCAAACACACAGAGCAGCCUUGCAGCUUUGUGCCUUUAGACUCUUGGUUUUGCAUUUCUCCCUGCUCCCUUCUUCCUUCCAGUAAGCCGCAACUUUUCUGAUUGAAAGGGUGCAAGGCUAACACACGGAAUGACUAACUCAGGAUCACAUACUGGCAGUGGGAGAGGCGGGAGGAGCAGCUGCCAUCAAUUGCCAGGGCCAAGUGGAUGAUAGGAUGGAUGCUGGCGCAUGCGGAGGAGGCAGACGCAACGCUCAUCUCUAAUAAUGAUGUCUGUUCCCUCAGAGGCGGCUAGAGCAUCGCCUCUUCACGCAAGUGUCUUGAAACUCAGCUUGAAGAUUUCAGCAAAUGUGUCUUACAGAGAAGAGAAGAGGGAGUCAGUCCAUCGGGAUUAAAAAUAUAGAGGCAGUGACGACACACACUCGGCUUCAGUUCUUAGGAGAGUUUUGGUUUUGAUUUUUUUUUUUUUGAGAAGAUUUUUUUUUUAAUGGAUCUACACUGUUAACUGAGACUCUGUUGAGAUUCACUGGUUUACUUAAAAACUUCUCAGGGAUGUCUGUAAAUUUCAGUGUUAUAUGUCAUGAAAACUGGUGUGGGCAGAUCUGUUGGUUGAAAUAAUUUCUACUGUUUCAAAUACUGAAGGCAGGAAUAAUUGGUUUAUACUGUGUUUUAAAUAAAAGUAUUACUGGUAAGUCCCCCAGGACAUUAAACCUUAAAAAUCA
rnacentral:lncRNA from 1 species